rnacentral:lncRNA from 1 species
GGUUGGAGAUGUCUGCAUUUUCGAACUUAUACGUGAGUAUGAAUUACGUGUUCGUAUUGCUGAGGUUGGAAAAGAUGGACUAGACUUCAAGGAUGAAAAACUAGAUUCUUAGCGUGCCUAGUGCAAGAUAAGAUGUCGUUUGUCUUAAACAAAGGCGACCGGUAGGAUAAAAGUCAUCAAAGAUUGGUCAAGAAGCUGUUCCAUCCUGCUAACGUUCUUGUUUGUGAGACAGAUAAAUCAAUUUCCAAUUAGUUGUAUUGUAUCAUCAGUAAUCUAGAUCAUAGAAUGUUUUACAUUUCACCAUUCAAAUCCCAGUUAGUUGUAUCAUCAUUAAUCAAGAUCAUAAAAUGUAGUAAUUAUCUAUUAUGACACUGUUUUUUAGUUCAUAUCAUUGUGAAUUUGUGAUUGCUAUAACAUUCAGUAGGCUUGUGAUGUUGAUCUCUAAUUUUUUAUGAUAAAAUGAAUUUUAUAUACUAAAGUACUAGUAUUAUUAUUUAAUAAUUGUAGUUUGUUGAAUACUUAUGAGUCAAACUACAAUAAAUAUUUAUCUAUUAGCUGAAAAAAAAUAAUUGAUGUUUCUUUGUGGAAAGGAUUCUCUACUGUUGUUUUAGAUUUCAAAAUUUUGGACUAAAUAAAGACCUCGAAAAAUUUAAUAAAUAUUUCUCUAGUUGAGUUUCUAAGACAAAGCCAAUUAUUUUCUUUGAUUUGUGCUCUAUCCUUAGAGUGGGUAAUGAAUGUACUGAUUGACUUGUGAAGAAUGAAGCUUCCUCUGAUUAUACUUUGAAGAUUUGGAAUAAUAUUAUUCUCUUUAACUCAGUCUUGUGUUGUAGGUGUUGCUCGCCCACGAGCUUAGUUUUUUCUUCUUCUUUCUGUGUGUGUUUUUUUUUUUUUUUUCCAUUUCAUUAAAAAAAAUAAAAUCACUGCAUUUUUUUUACUGUUACAAAAAUUCCAAAAUUCAUUCUUUCUCCUGCAUUUCUGAGCAAAAGUGGAGAGGAAAAAAAAAGGCAUAAGGCCUACCAUUUUUUUUUUUUGAAAACUUGGUAUCCGGCGCUAUGACCGACUAAUCCAAGGAGAGCAAUCCCACUUACCAAUUAUUCUUCUCUCUUCUCAAUUUCUCUCGUUGUCAAACAACUCUUUUUUUUCUCUCUUUUUUUUAGGUAUGUUGUGUAAGGGCUUUUCAGCUGAAUGUGUCUAAUCUCAAAUGGAAGUUUUAUAUUUUAAUUGCAGGCACUUCCCAAAACAUUUUCGAACAAUGUAAACAAGAAGUUUGCAGAAAAUGUGACCCUUAGAGGUCCUAGUGGAGUUGUGUGGAAGGUAGGGCUGACUACUAGAGAUGAUACCUUGUACUUCAUGUAACGGUUGGCAACAAUUCGUGAAAGACCACUCUUUGAAAGAGAAUGAUUUCCUUGUCUUUAAAUACAAGGGUGAAUCACACUUUGAGGUCUUAAUCUUUGAUGGAGAAAGUUUAUGUGAGAAAACAGCUUCUUAUUUUGUCGGAAAAUGUGGACAUGCUCAAACUGAACAAGGGGGUAGCAAGGCAAAGGAUACAAACACUUGUGCUGAAGAAGCCAUUAAUACUGCUUCGAAUGGUAAGACUUGUAAUGCUGGUGUUGAAUUUGCUUCCCCCGAGAAAUUAACGGCUGAUGCACUCACUAAGACCACAACUAUACAGUUUCCAUUCCAACCAACCGGCAAAAGGGCCGAGAAACCUGUUAAUGAAGUUACGCCUGUCCAGACUAAGAAACGAGGUAGACCACCAAAAGCAGGUAAUUCUUAUGAGAGAGCACAUGAUUUGGUGGCUUGUAACAAGGAACACUCAGGUAUGGCGGGUUUUUAGCAGAUGACAUGGGAUUAAGCCCAACGCAUGGAGACUUUAGAAACAAUAAAACAGAGAAUGAUGAGGUGGCAAGGAGCGAAAGUCCUCUCUUAAACAAAAGUCCUCUCCUUGGAGUAGAUUUGAGAUAAUGCAAAAUACGGUCUAUAGUCUGCAAAUGUCUCACCCUCAGACCAUGCAUUAACUGACUCACCACUAACUGUAUAAGCCGAAUCCGCCCUAGUGUAAAUAAAUCAAUUUUCCCACUAUUCUUUGAUAUUGGAACCUGUCAACUUUGGCACAUUUCUUCCCAAAGCUUAUCUUAUGAUUUUGCUCAAUGGGAAAACUCGCAUGUUUGCAUCCAAGCUUGUCUGUUUCCAGCAAAAGAUCAUGGUAAUUGCUUAUAGCACAAGCACAUCAUUGCCUUUGAUUUCAUUUUGGGUCUCAAAAAUAUGUAUUAAAACUCAUAUGAUCUUUCCUAGCAGAUUGAUACUUGUCUAGGAAAGAUUAUUUUCAUUUUGUUCCUAUUCACUGUGCUUGGCAUUAACACCGAAGCUCUUGCUAAUUCUGGUUUAUAAUUGAUAUAAUGCAGAAUAUACCAUCUCAAUUUUCGAAAGCACAUUUUCCAAACCGCAUAAUAAAGAUUAUUCUACAUAAUUUGAAGGGAGAACAGUGGACUGUUAAUUGUGUUAAUAGAAAUUUUAAUGUGUUUACAUUCCACUCUAUAUGUGGAGGGUGGAUGGAUUUUGUUCGUGGCAAUGGCAUAAAGAUUGGAAAUGUCUGCAUUUUCGAACUUAUACGUGAGAAUGAAUUACGUGUUUGUAUCGCUGAGGUUGGAAAAGAUGGGCUAGACUUCCAGGAUGAAAAACUAGAUUUUAGUGUGCCUAGUGCAAGACAAGAUGUUCGUAAACAAAGGCAGUGGCGAGGAUAAAAAGUCGUCAAAGAUUAGUCAAGAAGCUGUUUCAUCUACUUGCUAACGUUCUUGUUUGUG